CCGUAGGUGAACCUGCGGAAGGAUCAUUCAUAAUAAGUGUUUUAUGGCACUUUUUAAAUCCAUAUCCACCUUGUGUGCAAUGUUUGUUGGGAGAGAGGCAACUCUUUCCCUUCACAAAUAUCAACCUAUAUCUUUAACAACAUUCGUCUGAUAACAUAUUAUGAAUAUACUUAAUUCAAAAUAUAACUUUCAACAACGGAUCUCUUGGUUGAAGAACGUAGCAAAGUGCGAUAACUAGUGUGAAUUGCAUAUUCAGUGAAUCAUCGAGUCUUUGAACGCAACUUGCGCUCAAUGGUAUUCCAUUGAGCACGCCUGUUUCAGUAUCAAAAACACCCCACAUUCAUAAUUUUAUUGUGAAUGGGAUUGAGAAUUUCGACUUGUUUGAAUUCUUUAAACCUAUUAGGCCUGAACUAUUGUUCUUUCUGCCUGAACAUUUUUUUAAUAUAAAGGAAUGCUCUAGUAUUAAGACUAUCUCUGGGGCCUCCCAAAUAAAACUUUCUUAAAUUUGAUCUGAAAUCAGGCGGGAUUACCCGCUGAACUUAAGCAUAUCAAUAAGCGGAGG
rnacentral:rRNA from 1 species